rnacentral:rRNA from 1 species
AGCGAACGCUGGCGGCAGGCUUAACACAUGCAAGUCGAGCGCCCCGCCAGGGGAGCGGCAGACGGGUGAGUAACACGUGGGAACGUACCCUUUGGUUCGGAACAACCCAGGGAAACUUGGGCUAAUACCGGAUAAGUCCGCGAGGAGAAAGAUUUAUCGCCGAAGGAUCGGCCCGCGUCUGAUUAGCUAGUUGGUGUGGUAACGUCGCACCAAGGCGACGAUCAGUAGCUGGUCUGAGAGGAUGAUCAGCCACACUGGGACUGAGACACGGCCCAGACUCCUACGGGAGGCAGCAGUGGGGAAUAUUGGACAAUGGGGGCAACACUGAUCCAGCCAUGCCGGGUGAGUGAUGAAGGCCCUAGGGUUGUAAAGCUCUUUCGGUGGGGAAGAUAAUGACGGUACCCACAGAAGAAGCCCCGGCUAACUUCGUG